AAGGUUUGGAAGAAGAUUACAAGACUGACGGGGAGGAGGCAGCCUCAGAUUCAGAGGAGGAGGAUCCUGUAUUCAUUGAAACCGUCAGGAACACCAUUUAUAAUGUGUGCUGUGGAAGAAUUCGGACAGGGAUAUUAAUUGGAACAUUAACAUUGGAAAUGGUUGGGAAAGAGAGCCUGUCUUGUUCUUAAAGAUGUGAUCUUGAAUGUAAACUAAAGAUGUGAAGGCAGCCAGGUUAAAAAGAUGACACAGUUCCUACAGAAUUACAGACAGCUGUGGAAUCUGAAAGUUGAUGCAUAUCUAGAUUGUGGAAGACUACGAGUGAUGCUAUUGUAUCUCAGGAAAUGCAUCGGGCCACACAGGAGUCGAUACUGGAAGAAGACAAAGGAAGGAGGCCACAAAGGAGUCCAUACUGGAAGAAGACAAAGGGAGGAUGCCACACAGGAGUCCAUACUGGAAGAAGACAAAGGGAGGAGGCCAAGGACUGAAAGGCCCUGAUGAUUGCAUGGGUACCUUAGUUGUUCCAAGGAUUCAUCUGCUGGGGACUGGAUAUAUAAUAAUAUUAAAUCAGCACACAGCAACCCCUUUGUAGUAAAUGAGAGAUUCCUGAUUUUUUGCUACUACUUAGAGACCCACAAAGUAUCCAAUCCUCAUUGCUGCCAUUAAAAGUGAUAAAGAAAUCAAAUAUCCUUGCUGACAAUCGAGUUUUGCUUCACAAGGGAUGACUGGAGGAAUGCAGGAGGCAAGUCAGAGAAGGUUCUUGCUGCUGUUUUGAACAACCAGAAGUAUUCAUUCUUUCUUGAUAAUAAGAAUAUAUAGUUGCAGGAGAAGGAUCUUGUGAUAAAGAAAUGUGAUGCCUAGAACUAAUUAAUGAUGGAACUGUUGGUUGUAUCCAGUGAUACUGAGGAACAACAACAACAGCCAGAUUCAUGACGAAGCUCAUGAGACCUUGGGGAAUCAACAGCAAAAAAUGCUGAGCUACAUCAGGUUGCUGUACUUAAAGUUUUGAUAUCAGCAUCACAGUUGAUGACGAUGUUAUAGGGCGAUGGUACAAACAUCAUUGGUAGUGUGAGUAGUGUCAGAGAACACACAAGUAAUGCAUUCACUGCAGUGCCGGAUCUUAAAUAUGCAGAAACUUUUGUUGGUGUGGAUAUUAGUCAUGAAUUAGACAGAGAGCUCAGUGGAUUGUGUAGAGUACUGUAACAGUUAUAGAUGGAAGAAGAGUGAAAACUACAGAAAUAGAUGUUGUAAAAGAAGAGGCAGCAGCAGAAAGCAGAGCCCCAUGCUGUAUUACCUAAGGAAGAGGCCUAGAACCAAUAACUGCAUCAUCUGACCUUGCAUCACAGGUAGCAGAAACAACAGAAGCUGCUGAUGAUACUAUGGACAUUGUAACAUCUUCUGCCAGUGGGGAAGUCCAAAUCAGACCAGAACAGACAGAAUCAACAACAAGUGGUAAAAAAGAUGAUGGUAAAGAGAUAGAUGAUUUGCCUGAUGAUACUGAUACAGUCAAAGGAGUUGAUAGAGAAGGUCUUUCACUCAAAAAUUCACCAAUAUUCACCAUCAAACAGAGGAACUAUUUUCUGCGUAACCACUUCCGUAUUGAGGUCAACCAAGGGCAGAUAACUGUGGUCUUGUGCCUAUUUCUCCACUAAGAGAAGUGUUGUAUAAAGCCUUGAACAGUAAAACCAGUGUGCUACAGGAGAUUGCUCAUGACUGUAUGAAAAAGGCUCAGCUAACUUUGACAGUAAAUCAGCAGCAACAGUGUGUGACACCUGCUGCACGAGAGAAACUCGAGUACCAGGGUAUAGUUCUAACACAUACGCUCAUCAAACAUGAGGACGAAUGGUUGUCAAAUCAUCUGC